UACGGGGGGGGGCAAGCGUUGUUCGGAAUUACUGGGCGUAAAGGGCUCGUAGGCGGCCUGCUAAGUCGAACGUGAAAUCCCUGGGCUCAACCCAGGAACUGCGUCCGAUACUGGUUGGCUUGAAUCCGGGAGAGGGACGUGGAAUUCCAGGUGUAGCGGUGAAAUGCGUAGAUAUCUGGAGGAACACCGGUGGCGAAGGCGACGUCCUGGACCGGCAUUGACGCUGAGGCGCGAAAGCCAGGGGAGCAAAGCGGGG
rnacentral:rRNA from 1 species